AUUGAACGCUGGCGGCAGGCUUAACACAUGCAAGUCGAGCGAGCGGCGGACGGGUGAGUAAUGUCUGGGAAACUGCCUGAUGGAGGGGGAUAACUACUGGAAACGGUAGCUAAUACCGCAUACCAUCAGAUGUGCCCAGAUGGGAUUAGCUAGUAGGUGGGGUAAUGGCUCACCUAGGCGACGAUCCCUAGCUGGUCUGAGAGGAUGACCAGCAAAACGGGAACGGAGACACGGUCCAGACUCCUAGGGGAGGAAGAGGGGGGAAAUAUUGAAAAAGGGGGGAAAGCCUGAUGCAGCAUUGCCGCGUGUGUGAAGAGGGCCUUGGGGUUGUAAAGAACUUUCAGCGAGGAGGCGUUACUCGCAGAUGAAGCACCGGCUACCUCCGGGCCAGCCGCCGCGUAAUAC
rnacentral:rRNA from 1 species